rnacentral:lncRNA from 1 species
AAUAUCAGUGACCACUCACUAUUCUGGUAACACUGUCCCUCCACUGCUUCUGCGAUAAGGCACUGUGCUAGAUUUCUGAUCUCUCAGCAACCUCUAGGCUCCCAUUCCAAUCCAUUCAUCAGUUCACUCUCAUGUGUGUCACUCUGACAUGCCGUACUCACUGAGAACUGCACCUGCCUGACUUCACCUGCUCCCUGGGGUCUGGGUAUGGCCUCACUCUUCAGGCCAUCAGCCACAUAGCUCAGGUCACCCUUGCCCUGGCUGUAGGCUCCAGCACCACUGCCAGGAUAUUCUUGACCUCCACCCUAUAGACA